GUAUCUUGAAGCCUACUUCAGAGUUUAAUUAUUUCUUAUUUACACAAACCUCCCCCUUAUGGAGAAGACGACAAACAGGUACUGCCAUAUUCCUUAUUGCCAAGUCUUCCAGCAGCAAAUAAAAAUCAUGCAUCUGUUCCUCCUUUCCAUUUUAUCUUUGCUAUUGAAACGCACUGGCAGCAGAGAAGUUAUAUUUGGUCAUAAUCAUUUCACAGAAUAUCAAGUGGGCAACAUGAACGUGAUCCUCUCUGUCCCACAUGGUGGGUCAAUGGAACCUGAAGACAUCCCUGAUCGAGAGGCUGGCUGUUGGGAUGCAGAGACAUCUUCUUGUAUUUUCUCUCAUGACUGUCCUCCUGGAAGCAUUCAAGACUAUAAGAAGUGCAAAGUGUCUACCAACCAAGACAGGUAUACCAUAGAAGUGGCUCAGGUUCUUGCUGAAGAAAUCAACAAGAUUACUGAUGGCUUCUUCCCACAUAUCGUUAUAAACCACCUGCAGAGGUUCAAGAUGAAUGCUAACAGGGAAAAGGAAGAAACCUCCUUUGGAAUUCCCCAAGCAGAACAGGCCUGGGAGGAUUAUAUGGGAUUUUUGACCACUGCGAAAUCACAGAUGGCAAGGGGCCUGAUUCUAGAUAUCCAUGGACAAGCACAUCCUGAACAGUGGAUAGAACUAGGCUAUACACUUUCAAAAACUUCCCUUAACUCAGGUGUCUUUUCUGCGUCAUGUUCCUCCAUUAGAUAUCUGGCCAAUCAGCUAGUUAGUGUGUCUUUUGAGACUCUGCUUGCAGGGAACAGAAGUUUGGGUAAAUAUAUUGAAGAACAAAAUAACAGUUAUGUUUGUGUGCCUUCUCCAUCCAAUCCUAGCCCCAAUAAUGGGAGCUAUUAUAGUGGUGGAUACAUAACAAAGACUUUUGGCUCCCGUGAUUCUGGUGCCGUUGAUGCCAUUCAGAUUGAGCUACCCCAGUGGGUUAGGGCACCUGAAGAGCGCCUCAGAUUCUGUAAAGCAUUAGCAAGAGCUGUAAUGAAAUUUUGGAAAACUAAUUACUGCAGCCAGUCCAACCAUGAGUUUCUGCCAUGCUGAAAGAGGCUCUCUUAAGAUACCUUUCCAUACUAUAGUAAUGAUCUGGAACAACAAAACAACUCAUACACCUGUAACUCUUAAACCUGCAAUAUAAUUCUGGAUGCUGGAGGAGAGACACUAGCCUCCAAAGACAGACAUUACCAGAGAAAAUUCACAGAUAAUACCCAACAAAUCAGUUAACAAACAGCUUUGUACUAGAUCCAGCAUUGAAAAGACUGCCUGAAGGGUAUCUUUGAAAGUAUCACUUGUCUUAUAUGCUUUUCUGUUCUUAGCUUCUUCCCAGCAGUGUCCUCUCUCCUCUAGGAUACAAUAAACAACUAUUCUUCUAAAUAAUUCCUUGUAGU
ensembl:lncRNA